rnacentral:rRNA from 1 species
AGCGAACGCUGGCGGCAGGCUUAACACAUGCAAGUCGAGCGGGCAUCCUUGUGGUGUCAGCGGCAGACGGGUGAGUAACGCGUGGGAACGUGCCCUUCGGUUCGGAAUAACUCAGGGAAACUUGAGCUAAUACCGGAUACGUGCGAGAGCAGAAAGGUUUAUCUGCCGAAGGAUCGGCCCGCGUCUGAUUAGCUAGUUGGUGAGGUUAUGGCUCACCAAGGCGACGAUCAGUAGCUGGUCUGAGAGGAUGAUCAGCCACACUGGGGCUGAGACACGGCCCGGACUCCUACGGGAGGCAGCGGUGGGGAAUAUUGGACACUGGGGGCAACCCUGAUCCAGCCAUGCCGCGUGAGUGAUGACGGCCUUAGGGUUGUAAAGCUCUUUUCUCCGGGACGAUAAUGACGGUACCGGAGGAAUAAGCCCCGGCUAACUUCGUG